rnacentral:miRNA from 14 species
AAUAUAGAAUGGCCAAUUAAAUUUGAAUUUCAGGUAGACAACAAAUAUUUUUUUGGUAUGAGUUUGUUCCAUGCAGUAUUUGAGACAUACUUAUACUAAAAAGAAUUUGUUGUUUAUCUGAAAUUCAAAUUUAAUUGGAUGUCCUAUAUUUU